AAAGGGAACUAGAUUGGACAAAGGAAAGGAGAAAGCAAACGAGUAGCCGAUUUGGAACCGUUCUACCCCAAACAAGUGGUUGCUACGGGUUUGUGAUGGAUAUCUGAAUCUGGAGCUUUGAAUUGCAGUAUGUGAGAUUUAGGUGAAUCCUAUGUUGACUUUUGCAUGUAUAUUGUUCAUAUUAUGAGUCAUCUAGAGAAAAUUGAUUGAAUUCUAGUUUGAAGUCAUAAAGAGUAUGAUAUGUGAUGAUUGAAAUAAGUAUUAAAACAUUGAAGCAUGGCUGAAUAUGUAUAUGUGUCGAAAUGUAUAAGAUAUGAGUAUUUGUUAUGAUGAUAUAUAAUUAUAAAAAGUAAUGGGGUAUAA